rnacentral:lncRNA from 1 species
AAGUGCGAAGGAUACAAGGAAGCAUGUGGAGACAAGCGUAACAGCACACGUGCCGAUACAUCCAUUACUCUGUCAAAAGCAAAAGUAUCUCAUAUCAGCAGGGUGGAACGUACUCUAGAUUUGAUGGACUUGUUUUGACCCUCAAAUUCUUCAGUCGGCCUUAUACUCUGGAGGAAACCAGAAAACCCUCCAGCUCAGUUCAAGAAUAAGCCUGUGGGAAAGUUACUUCUUCAAAAGCAAAAGUAUCUCAUAUCAUCUCUUCUCAUUUUUCUUCUCUUUAUCCUUCAUGCUGCUGCAAGAUGGGGAGAAGGUGAACAAUCAGUCGGAGCUCUGAUUGCUUACCUUGUCUGUCACCUCUUUCAGCAGACCCCCUAGCUCGGCGACUUGGGGGACUCUUACUACAUGGUUUGUAUCGCGCUUGACCAAGCCUG